AACGAACGCUGGCGGCAGGCUUAACACAUGCAAGUCGAACGCCCCGCAAGGGGAGUGGCAGACGGGUGAGUAACGCGUGGGAAUCUACCCAAUUCUACGGAACAACAGUUGGAAACGACCGCUAAUACCGUAUACGCCCUACGGGGGAAAGAUUUAUCGGAAUUGGAUGAGCCCGCGUUGGAUUAGCUAGUUGGUGGGGUAAAGGCCUACCAAGGCGACGAUCCAUAGCUGGUCUGAGAGGAUGAUCAGCCACAUUGGGACUGAGACACGGCCCAAACUCCUACGGGAGGCAGCAGUGGGGAAUAUUGGACAAUGGGCGCAAGCCUGAUCCAGCCAUGCCGCGUGAGUGAUGAAGGUCUUAGGAUUGUAAAGCUCUUUCACCGGAGAAGAUAAUGACGGUAUCCGGAGAAGAAGCCCCGGCUAACUUCGUGCCAGCAGCCGCGGUAAUACGAAGGGGGCUAGCGUUGUUCGGAAUUACUGGGCGUAAAGCGCACGUAGGCGGAUAUUU
rnacentral:rRNA from 1 species